rnacentral:rRNA from 1 species
GAUGAACGCUGGCGGCGUGCCUAAUACAUGCAAGUCGAGCGAACAGACGAGGAGCUUGCUCCUCUGACGUUAGCGGCGGACGGGUGAGUAACACGUGGAUAACCUACCUAUAAGACUGGGAUAACUUCGGGAAACCGGAGCUAAUACCGGAUAAUAUAUUGAACCGCAUGGUUCAAUAGUGAAAGACGGUUUUGCUGUCACUUAUAUAUGGAUCCGCGCCGCAUUAGCUAGUUGGUAAGGUAACGGCUUACCAAGGCAACGAUGCGUAGCCGACCUGAGGGGGUGAUCGGCCACACUGGAACUGAGACACGGUCCAGACUCCUACGGGAGGCAGCAGUAGGGAAUCUUCCGCAAUGGGCGAAAGCCUGACGGAGCAACGCCGCGUGAGUGAUGAAGGUCUUCGGAUCGUAAAACUCUGUUAUUAGGGAAGAACAAAUGUGUAAGUAACUAUGCACGUCUUGACGGUACCUAAUCAGAAAGCCACGGCUAACUACGUG